rnacentral:lncRNA from 13 species
UUCUCUGGUGAGAUACUUUCACUGGUGUCAUACUUUCCAGGUCCAUACCAAACAGUUUGAACUUCUAAUUUUAAAAAUGAAUCUCUCCAGAAAUAAGUCUCUCACUGUUGCCACCUUCUACCGACGCCCCUCAGCUCCCAGCUGUGCCCUGGACACCAUUUGUGUCCAGGGCCCCCCAUCUAGCUUCAGAGUUUGUUCUGUUAGGUGACCUAAACUGAGAUAUGCUUAACACCCCGGCAGUCCUACAAUCUAAGCUAGAUGCCCUCAAUCUCACACAAAUCAUCAAGGAACCCACCAGGUACAACCCUAAAUCUGUAAACAUGUGCACCCUCAUAGACAUUAUCCUGACCAACUGGCCCUCCAAAUACACCUCCGCUGUCUUCAAUCAGGAUCUCAGCGAUCACUGCCUCAUUGCCUGUAUCCGCUUCGGGUCCGCGGUCAAACGACCACCCCUCAUCGCUGUCGAACGCUCCCUAAAACACUUCUGCGAGCAGGCCUUUCUAAUCGACCUGGCCCGGGUAUCCUGGAAGGAUAUUGACCUCAUCCCGUCAGUAGAGGAUGCCUGGUCAUUCUUUAAAAGUAACUUCCUCACCAUCUUCGAUAAGCAUGCUCCGUUCAAAAAAUGCAGAACUAAGAACAGAUAUAGCCCUUGGUUAACUCCAGACCUGACUGCCCUCGACCAGCACAAAAACAUCCUGUGGUGGACUGCAAUAGCAUCGAAUAGUCCCCGCGAUAUGCAACUGUUCAGGGACGUCAGGAACCAAUACACGCAGUCAGUCAGGAAAGCAAAAGCCAGCUUUUUCAAGCAGAAAUUUGCAUCCUGUAGCUCUAACUCCAAAAAGUUCUGGGACACUGUAAAGUCCAUGGAGAACAAGAGCACCUCCUCCCAGCUGCCCACUGCACUGAGGCUAGGAAACACUGUCAUCACCGAUAAAUCCACUAUAAUUGAGAAUUUCAAUAAGCAUUUUCAUACUCCAACCUCCGCCAACAGCUCCCCCCCCGCAGCUACUCGCCCAAGCCUCCCCAGCUUCUCCUUUACCCAAAUCCAGAUAGCAGAUGUUCUGAAAGAGCUGCAAAACCUGGACCCAUACAAAUCAGCUGGGCUUGACAAUCUGGACCCUCUAUUUCUGAAACUAUCCGCUGCCAUUGUCACAACCCCUAUUACCAGCCUGUUCAACCUCUCUUUCGUAUUGUCAGAGAUCCCCAAGGAUUGGAAAGCUGUCGCGGUCAUCCCCGUCUUGAAAGGGGGUGACACCCUAGACCCAAACUGUUACAGACCUAUAUCCAUCCUGCCCUGCCUAUCUACGGUCUUCGAAAGCCAAGUCAACAAACAGAUCACUGACCAUCUCGAAUCCCACCGUACCUUCUCCGCUGUGCAAUCUGGUUUCUGAGCCGGUCACGGGUGCACCUCAGCCACGCUCAAGGUACUAAACGAUAUCAUAACCGGCAUCGAUAAAAGACAGUACUGUGCAGCCGUCUUCAUCGACCUGGCCAAGGCUUUCGACUCUGUCAAUCACCAUAUUCUUAUCUGCAGACUCAGUAGCCUCGGUUUUUCUAAUGACUGCCUUGCCUGGUUCACCAACUACUUUGCAGACAGAGUUCAAUGUGUCAAAUCGGAGGGCAUGUUGUCCGGUCCUCUGGCAAUCUCUAUGGGGUACCACAGGGUUCAAUUCUC